rnacentral:other from 1 species
UACAUCCUGCGAUGUGCGUUUCGGUUAUUCGUUGUUUUGAACCAAUGACAAUGUCUAGGGAGACUCAUAUACGUUAGUGGCUGAACAGCCCUGUCCAAGCUGACAUGGGGACUUCAUAAACUGCGUUGCGGUCACCCACCUGCUAAGCAGGUUCACAGACAAUGUAAUCGGACGGCAUAUGCGGGACUUUA